rnacentral:rRNA from 1 species
GAUGAACGCUGGCGGCGUGCCUAAUACAUGCAAGUCGAGCGAACAGACGAGGAGCUUGCUCCUUUGACGUUAGCGGCGGACGGACGAGUAACAGGUAUGUGACCUACCUAUAAGACUGGGAUAACUUCGGGAAACCGGAGCUAAUACCGGAUAAUAUUUCGAACCGCAUGGUUCGAUAGUGAAAGAUGGCUUUGCUAUCACUUAUAGAUGGACCUGCGCCGUGUUAGCUAGUUGGAAAGGCCACGGCUUACCAAGGCAACGAUACGUAGCCGUACCUGAGAGGGUGAUCGGCCACACUGGAACUGAGACACGGUCCAGACUCCUACGGGAGGCAGCAGUAGGGAAUCUUCCGCAGUGAGCGAAAGCCUGAGGGAUCAACGCGGCGUGAGUGAUCAAGGUCUUCCGAUCGUAAAACUCUGUUAUUAGGGAAGAGCCAACGUGUAAGUGACUGUGCCCGUCUUGACCGUAGCUAAUCAGAAAGCCACGGCUAACUACGUGCCAGCAGCCGCGGGUAUACGUAGGUGGCAAGCGUCAUCGGGAGUUAUUGGGACUAACGCGCGUAGCGGUUUUUUAGUCUGAUGUGAAAGCCCACGGCUCCACCGCGGAGGGUCAUUGGAAACUGGAAAACUUGAGUGCAGAAGAGGAAAGUGGAAUUCCAUGUGUAGCGGUGAAAUGCGCAGAGAUAUGGAGGAACACCAGUGGCGAAGGCGACUUUCUGGUCUGUAACUGACGCUGAUGUGCGAAAGCGUGGGGAUCAAACAGGAUUAGAUACCCUGGUAGUCCACGCCGUAAACGAUGAGUGCUAAGUGUUAGGGGGUUUCCGCCCCUUAGUGCUGCAGCUAACGCAUUAAGCACUCCGCCUGGGGAGUACGACCGCAAGGUUGAAACUCAAAGGAAUUGACGGGGACCCGCACAAGCGGUGGAGCAUGUGGUUUAAUUCGAAGCAACGCGAAGAACCUUACCAAAUCUUGACAUCCUUUGACCCUUCUAGAGAUAGAAGUUUCCCCUUCGGGGGACAAAGUGACAGGUGGUGCAUGGUUGUCGUCAGCUCGUGUCGUGAGAUGUUGGGUUAAGUCCCGCAACGAGCGCAACCCUUAAGCUUAGUUGCCAUCAUUAAGUUGGGCACUCUAAGUUGACUGCCGGUGACAAACCGGAGGAAGGUGGGGAUGACGUCAAAUCAUCAUGCCCCUUAUGAUUUGGGCUACACACGUGCUACAAUGGACAAUACAAAGGGCAGCGAAACCGCGAGGUCAAGCAAAUCCCAUAAAGUUGUUCUCAGUUCGGAUUGUAGUCUGCAACUCGACUACAUGAAGCUGGAAUCGCUAGUAAUCGUAGAUCAGCAUGCUACGGUGAAUACGUUCCCGGGUCU